GCAAGUCGAGCGAGAAGCCAUCUUCGGGUGGUGGAGAGCGGCGGACGGGUUAGUAACGCGUGGGAACAUACCCUUCUCUAAGGAAUAGCCACUGGAAACGGUGAGUAAUACCUUAUACGCCCUUCGGGGGAAAGAUUUAUCGGAGAUGGAUUGGCCCGCGUUAGAUUAGAUAGUUGGUGGGGUAACGGCCUACCAAGUCUACGAUCUAUAGCUGGUUUUAGAGGAUGAUC
rnacentral:rRNA from 1 species